UGAGUUUUAAGAUGUCAGGGUCGAUUACAAUGCCCUAAUUGACACUGAUGAUGAAACUUCAUGACUAUGAUGAUACUUGGCAGAUCUCAAGAUGGUGAAUGAAUAAGUAUUAAUUAGCUCUUAAUUACAGCGGCGGCGCAGGGACAAGGUCGUCGAUGGAGGUGCAGAUAUUGGUGACAGAGAUCACCGGUGGGGGAAGAGGGGAGGAGAUGCGUGAGUGAGGGUUCCGUGGUGGUGGUUGUCACGGCUUGCCUCGGUAGUGGAGAUGUUGCGGCGGCUACCACGACCAUCUCAGAGACGGCGGCGGCGAUUCGCCGGAGAUGGUGCGGCAGGCGGCUGAUUUCCGACGCCGAGAGAGAGAGAUGGAGCAGAUCUCGACUCGUCGAUCGCUGAGCGGAGGAGCUUGUGGUGGCGCGGAUUUCCGACGCCGAGAGAGAUGGUGGAGGCGGGCGGCGGCGACGGAGGAUGCAAGGAGGGAGAGGUGGUGGCGGUAGUGAGAUAGAGAGAGAGUGACGUGAAGAGAGAGAGGAGAGAGGGAUAGAAGUGAGUGGAUAUUUUUUAUUAUUUUAAAGUGAGGGUUAUUUCUGUCUUUUCAAUCAAAAAGUGGAUAGUUUUUAUUAUUUUUAUCUUAGUGGACAAUUUUUAUCUUUACAAUAUGAAAGUGGAUAGUUUUAUAUAUUAACUCUUUUUCUUUUAGGAUGAAUACAAUUGUACAAACUUGA
rnacentral:lncRNA from 1 species